rnacentral:rRNA from 1 species
UACGAAGGGGGCUAGCGUUGCUCGGAAUUACUGGGCGUAAAGCGCACGUAGGCGGCUUUCUAAGUCAGGGGUGAAAUCCCGAGGCUCAACCUCGGAACUGCCUUUGAUACUGGGGAUCUCGAGUCCGGGAGAGGUGAGUGGAACUGCGAGUGUAGAGGUGAAAUUCGUAGAUAUUCGCAAGAACACCAGUGGCGAAGGCGGCUCACUGGCCCGGAACUGACGCUGAGGUGCGAAAGCGUGGGGAGCAAACAGG